CUUACGGGAGGCAGUAAUAGGGAAUUUUUCGCAAUGGGUGAAAGCCAGAUAGAGCAAUGCUGCAUGGAGGUAGAAGGCCACGGGACGUGAACAUUUCUUUGAGAAGAAGCAACGACGGUAUGUGGGGAAUAAGCAUCGGCUAACUCUAUGCCAGCAGUCGCGGUAAUAUAAAGGAUGCAAG
rnacentral:ncRNA from 1 species